GCCCGCAUAGAUCAAUGCUACAUCAUCUCUUCACAAUGUUGUUGGCGCAGUCUGAUACCGAGAAGGCGGAGGUUUGAAUCCUCCUGCGGGCA